AACUAGUCCUUCUUAGGCCCUCUGUCUGAUUUUCCUUUGGCUGGCUCUGAUUUCUUUACCUCCUGAACACCUGGGGCCAAGGCUCCUUUUCACAGCAGUUUGAAAGCCAUCCUUUCUUUUUGCUCUUUACUCAGUUCGGUCCAGCUCUUAAUCUUUGAACAGCAUCAAAUAUUCAUUGCUGUUUGACAAAGCUGGGGCUGGAGGGUCCAGCGUUUUCUAAAACAGAUCUUGCUUUACCAUUGGUGAUCCAGUGAGCCUUUCAGCAAGGCUGACUGUAAAUCAUCCAGGCUCAAUUAGUGUAUUUCAAAGAAAUACCCAGGUGUUGUUUGACCUUCAAACAUAUGGACUGCUGGAAUAAAUGAAAGUCUCGCCUGUUCCCAUCGUGCCGAGGGAACUAGAUGGGAAAAUGGGAGCAGUGUUUCAUGAAAUACAAGUGAUCUCAUAGAUUGUUAUAAGAACUUAUGAUAAAUGCUUCCUACGGUGCCUGUCCCAGAAAUCAGGGUCUUUUCCAAUGAGUCAACUCUUCGAAUGAGGUGGCCAAAGUAUUGGAGUUUCAGCCUCAGUCAGCAUCAGUCCUUCCAGUGAACACCCAGGACCGGUCUCCUUUAGGAUGGAAUGAUUGGAUCUCCCUGCAGUCCAAGGGACUCUCGAGAGCCUUCUCCAGCAUCACAGCUAAAAAGCAUCAAUUCUUUGGCGCUCAGCUUUCGUCACAGUCCAACUCUCACAUCCAUACAUGACCAGUGGAAAAACCAUAGACUUGACUAGACGGACCUCUGUUGGCAAAGGAAUGUCUCUGCUUUUGAAUAU
ensembl:lncRNA